UGAGGCAUGAAAGUAGUGUAAAGCAAGUAGUCUUCCAGAUAACUUUAUUUACUUACUUAUUUACCUAUAGGCAACUUAAGCAUGUUGCAUUAGUCAGUCACUAGAAAUUUAAUUUGACAGGUUAGAUAAUCUGUCUUUAUCGGAUGAAAUACAAAACAUUUGCUUGUUACAGUUUCUUGGACAUGAGGGUCUUCUUCCUUUUUCUGUAUACAUCUUUUUCACUGUAAGUCUAGACUACAAGAUUGAUAAUGAAAAUAAUCAUGAGUUGCAGCCUUAGUCAUUACAGCAAGGACUUAUGAGACUGAAUAUCUGAGUACAUCUGACUGUGGAUUUAUUUGUGUCUUAAUUAAAAUAAAAUACAAGUAUAUGUGAGAAUGGCUCAGUGUAAGGAAGGAAGGCCAACUAUUAUCUCCCUCCUAUCCUAUAUGGGUAUUUUCUUUUUACAUAAACACCCACACUUCUUCUUCCUCUUUACGAAGUAUCUCCUUGUUGUCUCAAGUCCCUCCUGGCAGGCCUUAUUCUCAGUCAUACACUUGGAGGGAGACAGGUACAGUCUAAUGUUUCCACCCUGUGCCUCCUCUGCCAUUUACAGCCACGGACUCAUUUUACAACCUCUCCUAUCUGGUGUCAACAACUGCAAAGUGUGUCAGUGGGGCCUGCUGUCAGCAGUGGGCGAAAAAAUCAGCACAUCCACUCUGUCAGUCGCCGUCACAGAUUUGAGUCCCAAAAGAAGAGUGCUUUUCUGAGAAGGGAGAACUCAAGUACUCAAGGUUGACUUUUGUUAUAGUAACAUUGCAUUAUAGCUGAAGUACCCUGUGGGUACUAGUGCGUACGCUGGAGGAUGCAGGUGAUGCCAUACCCAGUCCUGCCAGUGGAUUCACACUAUUCCAGUGAUCAUCAGGAGGUGGUAAAAUACAGCAAUAAACCAGCAAAAGCAGUGAAGAAGAAGACUGUAAGCAGAUAAACAUGGACAAUGCAGGUUUCAAAAUGCAGCAUUCAAGUAUCGGACUUGCUACUGUUUUUAUACGGAAGGAAAUGUUAGACCUCAAAGAGACACACAAUGUUUUUUGUGUAACACUGAAUAUAAACACAACUUUUGUUUGUUUUCAAGACAACUCCACGGGGCAACGCUGCCUUGUUCUUUCUUCCUGGUCUAAAAAGCUGGAUGACUGCUAAUUGUUGAAAAUCUCACAACACAUGGGACAGGUUUAGCUGAGUGAAAUAAACCCUUCUUGGUUGUCUUACCAGCAUUAUUAAUAAAAAUGUUCUUGUUUUAAAGAUA